UACGGGAGGCAGCAGUGGGGAAUAUUGCACAAUGGGCGCAAGCCUGAUGCAGCCAUGCCGCGUGUAUGAAGAAGGCCUUCGGGUUGUAAAGUACUUUCAGUCGUGAGGAAGGUGUUAAGGUUAAUAACCUUAGCAAUUGACGUUAGCGACAGAAGAAGCACCGGCUAACUCCGUGCCAGCAGCCGCGGUAAUACGGAGGGUGCGAGCGUUAAUCGGAAUUACUGGGCGUAAAGGGCACGCAGGCGGUUAAUUAAGUUGGAUGUGAAAUCCCCGGGCUUAACCUGGGAAUGGCAUUCAAGCUGGUUAGCUAGAGUCUUGUAGAGGGGGUAGAAUUCCAUGUGUAGCGGUGAAAUGCGUAGAGAUGUGGAGGAAUACCGGUGGCGAAGGCGGCCCCUGGACAAAGGACUGACGCUCAUGUGCGAAAGCGUGGGGAGCAAACG
rnacentral:rRNA from 1 species